rnacentral:rRNA from 1 species
GACGAACGCUGGCGGCGUGCUUAACACAUGCAAGUCGAACGGAAAGGCCUGCUUUCCCUUGUGGAUUGCGGGUACUCGAGUGGCGAACGGGUGAGUAACACGUGAGUGAUCUGCCCCCAACUUGGGUAUAAGCCUGGGAAACUGGGUCUAAUUCCCGAUAGGACUGCAGGGUGGUGCCUGUGGUGGAAAACGAUUUUCUAGUGGUUGGGGAUGAGCUCGCGGCCUAUCAGCUUGUUGGUGGGGUAAUGACCUACCAAGGCGGCGACGGGUAGCCGGCCUGAGAGGGUGGACGGGCACAUUGGGACUGAGAUACGGCCCAGACGCCUACGGGAGGCAGCAGUGGGGAAGAUUGCACAAUGGGCGGAAGCCUGAUGCAGCGACGCCGCGUGGGGGAUGACGGCCUUCGGGUUGUAAACUCCUUGCGACCGCGAGGAAGCCACCUGGUUGGAAGGGUGGUGACGGUAGUGGUAGAAGAAGCACCGGCUAACUACGUG